GCCCUGUGGAUAGCUCAGGUGGUAGAGCAUGACACUCUUAACCUCAGGGUUGUGGGUUCAAGCCCCACAUUGGGCA
rnacentral:tRNA from 1 species